ensembl:lncRNA
CAAAUGGGGUGUGACAUGCAUACGUUUCAACAUGCAGCACUUACUUCUUUAGGACCUUACUUUUUCCACUGUUUUCUCAGUAGACUAUUUGAUUUCCUUUGAAUCGGGCCUAACGAUAACACGGGAUUUGAAGCACGGUUCUCGGCGUUGAGCGCACUGACGGGACCAAGAGGAUUGGGUUAUUGUUGGCAAAGUCCUGCUAGCCUUAAUCAAAGGACCAAACUCAACUCCCAGAAAAGUUAUUUGAGAUGACACAGAUGAGGGACACAGCCAUUACCUGCAGGAUGAGACCUAGGAACUGGCCUCUCUCCCUCCCACGUAGCUCUCUUCAAAGGACGCUAAUUGUCAAACAAACUUGGAAUUUCCAGCUCCAGUUCUGUCAAUCUAUUUGUGAUACUAAGGUUAUCAGAGGCAAAUUAUACAAUUUCUGCACACGGGACAGGUGGUUCAACCCAGUCUGCCAUAAACUCCCUACCUCAGACCAUCUGAUCAUCAGUGCUUCCUUCACCAUGGGUUUUAUCCCAUACAUGUUACCUUCGGGAAGAACAAGGUGGCUGUGGGAACAGCAGCUCCUUUCCCAUGUCUGCAGAGUGGGGCAGUGCCCAGGUCUGCCUGCUCGUACCCGUUCAAAGCAAGCAUCUCAGGAUGUUAAAAACUGGGCAAGGCAUACUGUCACAUUCUGGUCCAAGAGGUGAGACAGUACUUAAGACCUUUUUGAGUGUUUCCUUUGGAUGCAAGAUUGAAGAUAAUUCUCUGGUGCAGCACUAUUUAUUUACAAAGAAUAAACAGAGACUCUGCUCUCCUAAACCAGAGGAGGAAUCAACAGCAUCACGCGACUUCUUUACUCAGAGAGACUCUUUACUCCAGAGAGUUUUCUGCUUCAAGGCAGCUCUACUUUCUAGUUUCCUAGCUAGGCUCUGCAACAAGCACUUUGCCAGCUUCAACCCAGCUCCUUCCUCUCCUAGUUCAUAGAUUUUUCUGGACCUUUCUCCCCACUGCCUGUUCACCGUGCCAUUUCUGCACUGAAGGAGGCUCCUGCAAACCACAGGAGCACGAACUUGACAGACCCGGUCUUCCAGACACCGCCUUGCUCCCCAGAAUACUUCAGACCUCUACAGACAGGGUCAGAGUCAUCAUGCCCUCUUGUUCUGGGCAUGGCUAUGCCAUUGCUGUCAGUGGCUCAUGAGUGACAAGUGUCAGCUGUCUGAAUAAAUGGCAAGUUCCGCUAGAUGUACGUGCACCAUGGCCUUCUGAGCUCAAGUCUCCGUCCCACUGUGCUAGUGAAGAACAGACACGACCACAAAGGCUCAGAACAUGCUGACAGAGAGCACUGAGAAGAGGCUGAGCAAUGUUGGACUUGGCUGAAGUCAGCGGUUGCUCUAUGACAAACAAGGAACCAGAGCCAAGAUAGUGAAAUGUUCGGUUUUUAUUCCAUCGUCCACGUAUCAUGUCCUCGCUCACCAAACACUUUCUGAAAACACAGUCCUGGUACCUCGUGGCUGUGCUCUGUGUGUAAAUGUACUGACACAGUGGUGCUGCCUCCACACACACACUUUCAUCAUUACAUUCCUUUCAUUUUUCUUCUGGGAAUAGCCAUAUUGCAAUGCUAAUACUACUGAUUGUUUGCGAUGUUAUCAUGCAGUUAUACUCCCGUAAAAUGUAAUCAUAAAUACAAUGUGCGUUAGACUUUAUAUAUAUAUGACCAAACAUAAUUGUUUGCUGUCUAGAUGAGGCAUUUUCUAAGAUUUUAUAAACUUUUUCUUUUUAAUUCAACACAAUGCACAAAGUUUAGCACAGAUCCCACAGCAGCUAAAUGUUGCGGGGACUGCCAGGCAGCCCUAUGGCAAUAGGAGAUUACCUUCUAGUGAUGUCUUUCGUGUUACAAUAUCGAUACUCCCUGGUUAUUCCUUGGCAUAUUUCUUCCCCACCUGCUUCUGCAGGGAACUACCUUCCCACAUCCUGUCUCCACAUUCAUAUGUUGCGUUAUCUACACACGAUUAUCUUAUUUUUUAAAUACUGUAGUCUUUUUUGUUUGUUGUGCAGAGUAAACAUUGGCCUCCGUAUAUCCAUCCUUCUCUCUGUCCAGUGUUCUGAGAGUGAAAGCAGCAGUAAAGAGUUUUUGUCAUUGAAGUACUGUAACUACCCACCUGUACAGUAACGAUAACACACACAGUGGACAUAACAACCUAAUCUUCCUACUUUUCUUUGCGUCAACUCCAUGGGGAAAAUGCCAGAGGAGACAUUUAUCAGACGUGUUGUCAUAUCUCUUUGUGUUUUGAACCUCUCCAAAAUGAAAAAGUGAAGCAGUUUGUUUGACUUGCAGAAGGGGUUUUGGCUUACUCCCCAUGAAAAUAUGAUUAUAAAUUCCUCCUGCAUUUACUGUUGGCAUAUUCUAAACAAUUGAGUCCACUGAUUACUGAGUUAUAUAAGAAUUCUUGUGUUAUUUGAGACUUAAUACAUCAGACGCUGUGUAAAAGUGACAUACCUGUUUUUUAACAUAUCAAAUCCAAACCAAAGAGAACUUUUUCUGUUUUGUGGGAUUUUUAUUGCAGGCUGGGGGAGGAGGAAAGAAAACUGUGGGAAUUCUUGCCUCAUACUCCCAAGUUGAUGCUUUCGGUGCAAAUUUUACCCACUUGCAGCUGGGCUGUGAGUAUUGCUGCUCUGUGAUAGUGAUGUUGAUGUCCUUAUUUAAACCUCUGGGGCUCAGCCUCUGUGUCUGAUUCAAGAUUUUGAAAGUCUUGGCAUCUACCCUGAAGCUUCUCGAUGAAUUGUAAGACAUGAAAGAAACUGCAUUUUGCCCAUUCCACUUUUUACCUUAGUUGUGGCACGCCACAUUAUCUGUCACAGAUGGGAAAAACACAUGUGAAUGAAUGUAAUCCAUUUAUUGGUUUAUGGUCACAAAGUCCUCAAGGGAGUGUUCCAAAUCCAGAAUGCUGGAUUUCCUAUUUCAGUAAGUUAGCAGAAAGACGUUUCUUCCUAUUCACUACAUGUCCAGCAUGAUUUGGUAAACUCAUCAAAGGUGAAGAACAACCACAUGUAAGACUAUUCCUCUCAGACAUUUUUGAUGAAUAACUGAUUAAAAAAAAAAAAAGCUCUCUGAGAUCUUCAAAAUGCAAAUGAAGAGAUUUCUACAGAGGGAUGACACAGCUGAAGAACACAUUUCCAGACAACAGUGCUACCCCAUAUUGUAGGAUGAGUAGUUCUUUGUAUUCUGUUGUAUCCUGUGUAUUUUCUAUAGCAUUUGUCCUAUUCUGACACACUCUUAUUUUUUACUAUUACUGACAUAUCAGACCUGAUAUGUCAAACCUGAAUCUUAGACAUUUAGUCAGUGUGUGUUGUAAAUGUGAUUUUUCUGUAAGUUGCUCUUUGGUUGAAAGCUCUCCUUAAAGAAUCGUAAAGCACAGAUACUAAGAGCAAAACGCACUCACAUUGUCCUUUAAGCGUGCUUCAGUUUGUUCACAGAAGGAGUGAGUAAAAGUCCUAUCAGAGUGAAUAAGCAGUCUUUGUUCUUUUAGUUUGGUUUGCCAGUUGUGGACCAAGUUUUUCUGAGACAAGGACAUCUUCCUAAUCAGAAAGUUGUGGAGAUGAACAUUCAUCUGCUGUAGCCACUGAGCAUCCAGCGGUAUUUGGAUAUCUCCAGGUCACACUGGGUUCCCACCACGUUCUAAAUCCACAAGGUGUUUAGAAUGGAUCAUAGAUCCCAUUUGAUAAAAUGUGCAAGUGAGGCAUAAUGUGUAACUUAUUAAACUGAUAGCUCAGGAAUUGAUUACUCAUUGGCAAGAAGCUCAUAGAGCAAAGUAAGAACAUACUGAAGAAGAAUGUAUUAAACAGAUUUCUGCAGGUAGGCUGUGUGGUCUCCAACAUUAACAGAGGAAGCAGGAAGUCCAGCACUCUGCUCUUGAUUUCACUAUCAGCUAUUUAAUAGCACUGUUUAUUCUUAUCCUCACAGUUUGUCCAACAGUGUCACUUCGACUCUUUAAAGACGGGACCCCAGCUGAAUCCCUUCUUCUUUAGGGUUCGGUUUCUCUAUCUCAUCGUUGUGUUUUAGAACUGUAUUGUUAGGAUGACUUGGCAAUGUUUGCUGAGCACUUUGAAGAAACGAAGCAAAGUAUUAAGUUAUAAGUAGGGUAGUUAUUUAAGAAAAACUUCAUUAUUUUUCAAAAGCAAACAAUUUUGGCAAGAUGAUAAAAGGAAGAAAGAAAAAGGGAGUGUAGCACUGAAGACAGUAUGCUCAUUUUCUUCUCACCAAACAGUAAAUGCUUUAGGAACACUACAUUCUUUCAUUCUCAUCUCGCACUCAAGAGCAGUCAUUUCAUAUCUCUAUUUACCUUUCUUAAGCCAUACUCUGUGCUCAUGCUUUUCAGCACUUUAUACAUUUAUUUAAGGAUCAACUCAGAGCACUUAUUCAUCUUAUUAGGAAAACACAUUACAUUCACACAUCAGAGCCUGCAACUGCAAAGCUACUAUAAAUCAUAAGAUAUCACUGACACCCCCCUUUCAUCUUCUCAGAGAUGCAAUGCUCUUUGCAGGGUUUUUGCUUUCACUGAGGUUGCUUUGCUACUUCCUCCUGGGGACUGAAAUAAACAGUUUUCCUUUCCUUUCUCAGCUGGUAUCUUCUUUCCUCCUGAUAGCGCACGGCAGCGUGGCUGUUAGUUGUUGGUGUAUACAGGUCAGCCCAUGCAUCUCUGGCAUUCCAAAGCAAUAUUGUAACGACAGCUCCUUUACCAAAAGGCAGUGCUCUUAUCAAAAUCGUUAAUGUAAUUUUCAUGAGCUCAUAUUAUUAUGGCACUUCUAUCAGUAAUAUAUUUACUGUAUAUUUACUGAACAUAUUCCUUUUUAAACAGAAGCAAGAAAGAUAAAAGCAAGGAGGUGCAGCUCAAGACAUGACAUUUGCAUGUUAGGAAGAAUUGCAUAAAACAUUGACCUUGCUUUCAGUACUUUUGUGCUGAACUCAAGUAGUAUAAGUCAGGAAAACGCCCAGUGAGAGGAGUAAGUAAUUCAAGCAAAAGGAAAAGCUCAUCACACAGAAGAGACAACAUCGAGAACGCAAGAAAGUUUUUCAGAUGGGUCAGCGGUGGGAUGGUGUCAUAGGCAGCCAGAAGAAGGAUAAGAUUUGGAGGAUGUCUGCAGAGAAGCAGUCAGGACUAUUUGAAAACAACAAAACCCAAAGUUAUUACCCACUGUGAGCCCUGCUGGUAAUUCUGUAGCAUACUUUGGCUCCAUCCACAAGUUGCUGCCUGCCGGCUCAUUAAGUCAAUCCACUUGCUUUUUAUCGCUGACGAUAAGCAUGGAAACGUUUUGGGCGAUCUGUGACACCAUCAUUCAAUCUACAGCCUAGCUGUGGGGAGAUUAAUGAGACUCCACAGCUCUCCUGAAAUCUUCUUUUGGUGAUUGUGAAAACAGAAGUGCGAUUUCUGACAAAAGAAAGGCAAUAACUUCUUGUGAACUUUUCUUUAAAAUAAAGCCCCAAAGCAAUAACCUGAUCUGGACAGUUCAGGUGCAGAGAGCUGCUGUGAAUCAGCAGUUAAGAUGUGACGCAGCAAGCUGCAGUGUAUGGAGGCAAAUUUCUUGAUCUUUUCUGCUUAAAGUCAUGGUGAAGUCCAUCGCUUGUUUUAGUUAUCUGCUUUCUGAAUAUUGUACGUUAGCUAAGAAGUCUGAUGUGUUCUGCGGGACGGGUCACAAGGUACUGACCUGACGGUGCAUUGAGAACGUGCUGGAGAUAAGCUGUUUGUCUGCCUUUCUGCCUAAUAAUGAAAGGCACGACUCUGACUUUAAUUAAGCUGAUCUAUCCAGAAUGGGAACGUGAGGUUUUUUUUUUUUUUAAAAGACACUUUCUGAAAAGAUUCAUUUCCCGCUUCAUAACGGGGAAAUUACUUCUUUUUGGAUUAGAAAACAUCAUCUUUGGGGUUUGCAGGCUGAUGUCUCCACGGCGUGAACCCAGUAUUCACACAGGAUUGUGUAAUGGUAAAAGAAUUUGUCUGGAACAGCCAGCUUUAUGAUUGACUGGUGAUAUUCUGCUGAAGAAGAUCUGAGCGAAGAUAACAUUUUCAAAAGAAAAAUAUUGCUGGCACUUGACUACCUGUUCUGUAUAGCAUUUAUUCGCACUUGUCAACUAACCAAAAUAAAACCCUU